AGUUACUCGAUUGAUGCAGAAAGCUCGCAUCCAGAUCUGGCUCUUCGAGCAGAAGGAUCUGAGGAUCGAAGGACGCAUUAUUGGCUUUGACGAGUACAUGAAUUUGGUCCUUGAUGAUGCUGAGGAACUUAACGUCAAAAAGAACACCAAGAAGCCAUUGGGGAGGAUUCUCUUGAAAGGGGACAACAUAACCUUGAUGAUGAACACGGGAAAAUGAUGACCGAGGAUUAAAGGAUGCUGUUGUUUGUCUGUAGCAGUAUUCUAUUUUCAAGAUUCAUGGAGGUCUCAAUUUGUAGCUGUCUUUAUGUCGUAUGAUACUGAUUCCCCGUGAAUAUGACGCCUGUCAUGUUGGCUAUGAAAUGAAUUUCGGCGCUAGAACAAAGUUAGGGCAUCACUAAGAACCUUUCUGUAUCAACUCUUAAUGCAAAUCUCCAUCAAGAAGAUCUCUCAAUUAAUCCGUGAUCUGUGGAUGAUCAAAUUGUGUUUUAAAAAACAAUGCUUAGCACACACUCCCUCUUUUUGGUUGUGGAGUAUAUUUGCAUCAACUUGUUUUUCACUUUAUAUUCCCCAUGUCUUUUGGGAAAUAGGAAGGGUUUGUUGCAGAGAGAUGCCUUGUUCCGCUAGAUUAUGCAUAGCAAGUAUUAUGACUUUUGAAAUAUUC